CUUCUGUUAAUCGUCCUAAUAUAUACUAUGAAGUUAGAUACAAAGAUCGAUUGGAAGAUAGGUUUACUGAUGUAUAUGAUACACUCUUUUCUAUGGGAGAAGUGUGCGCAAUAAUUUAUUGCCCCACACAGUCAAUGUGUGAUAACUUGACAGCUUAUCUAUCACACAGAGGCAUUUCUUGUGCUGCUUAUCAUGCAGGAAUGAACAGUGAAGAUCGGACUUCUGUGCUACAUAAAUGGAUUUCUUCCAUACCAAAAGUUGCUGUUGGCACUGUUGACAACAAGCAGCCCAAAGU